CUCAAAAACCCACAUUUCCAAUGGAGCUUGGGCAGUUUAUGAGUUUUCAACUAUCCCGGCAAAUCUGAACCGCAUUCCGAAACAGUCACGCGGUACAGGCGGGCAGCGAGGCUGAAUAGUGUCACGAAGAGGUCACGUGGUACAACCUGGCAGCAAUGCGAGGCUUCACACGUCAUCAUUUCCGGCUCCACCCCUCCAUGAAGCAAGCCUCGAUACGCGCUUCGCGGGAACGCCCGCUCCAUUACUCAGCACAAGCCUCGAAGUCUCGGCACAUUUCAUCCCAUCACUACACACAUCCCUAACUUUAUUAGACACAGAUGAGAGUGCAGCCUCCCUCAGUUCCCACGUUACGAGCUGUGCGUCUCCUCUCCCCGUGUUCCCUCUGCUUUCCGGACUGCCUUUUGGAUCUUGAACUCCUGCCUGGACAUGGACCUUCGACGCCUCGCUAUAGCCCUCGACUUCCUGCCUGCUCACGGACCUCCGAGCUCUGCCUUGAUCUUCCGCCUCUCGCUCAACACUACUGGUAACACUCAACAGCUAAUCACCACACAUAGUCACACACCACACACAUUUGUGUUUGUUUCACACUUCAUUUAUUAUUUAUAUAUAUUGUAUUUAUAUAUAAAUAAAACAUAGAGAUAAA